GUUUGCAAGCAGCACCUAAAAAAGCAACACCAGUAAACAAAGAAUCCGGUUUUGACAGGAGAACUGUAAACAUUUGGCACCUCUAUCUGCAAAUAUUGUACACAUAAUUACUGAAAACCAAAGGUGGAUUAUGUGCACCCUCACAUUUAUGGCUUUUAACUACAGUGCAGAGACAGCACAGCGCUGCUCAUCUGAAACACAGAGGAUAAUAUGAAGCAUUCGCUGCCCUCUUUAAAGGCUUUCUUUCUUAAAGUCUUUGUGUUGAGGUUUUGUUUUGCAUCGCUGUUUCUCAUUACGCACAGGACUCUCCUACAGUCGUGUUUACACUCUGUCGUCCUGCCCUUCACCUAAAUCUGCUCCAGGAACAACUGCUGUUCAAAUGAAGGGACUUUGAUUAUGAGCCGUAAUGCUGGAACCAUCCAAAGUAAACUUCCCACGAGCUGCUAGACUAUGAAAUGUGUGAAUGAUGACAUGUGCUCCUGUAGAAACCUCAUCUGUGUGAAUUCAAAGAACUAGUCUACCCACAAACAUCAGUUUGGGUGGUAACCAUCGAACUCACAAAUAAAGCACUGUACCAUAUCGAUAA